rnacentral:pre_miRNA from 1 species
AAAAAAACAAACCCUGGAUUUCCGUGUCCAAUGUUUGACUGUCCGUCUUAUAUGAAUUUUUUAUAAUUAGUAUUUUCAUUAUUGUUAGAUGAUAAAACAUGAUUAAUACUUUAUACGUGACUUGUCUUUUUAAUUUUUUUUAUAUUUUUUUCAAAUAAGACGGACGGUCAAAUGUUGAACACGGAAAUUCAGGGUUUCUCUUUUU